GACGUGUUCCUCGUCAUGCCCACAUCCUCACACAAAUUAUCCAGUGCCCUUAGGUACCACGGAGAGAGAAGGGGAAGGAAAUACACAGGAAGCCCGUUAAUUGUCUGAGAAUGCUGCCACACUUCCAGAUGACAGGUUCACCUACUAAUGUUUCAGGAAUCAGCUAAGCUUCUGAAGUUCUUAAUACUGCCAGGAGUAACUCAGAAGGCUGGGAAUACGGGUGGAAACAUCAGACACGCAAGCUGUUGAAAACCACAGUUUUGGGCAGCACUGAACGCUAAAGGAAUGGCAGCGAGUAAGAGACGUGCUGUAAAUCAUGGGGUCCCGAGAAGGUACAAAUCUGGGAGCCUUUGCGAGUCCUAACAAUGGGGGCCAUAGAUGGAUAUCUAGACAUC